rnacentral:rRNA from 1 species
UACGAAGGGGGCAAGCGUUGUUCGGAAUUAUUGGGCGUAAAGGGCGCGUAGGCGGUUCGGCAAGUCUUUAGUGAAAUCUCUGGGCUCAACUCAGAGUCUGCUGGAGAAACUGCCGGGCUUGAGUAUGGGAGAGGUGAGUGGAAUUCCUGGUGUAGCGGUGAAAUGCGUAGAUAUCAGGAGGAACACCUGUGGCGAAAGCGGCUCACUGGACCAUAACUGACGCUGAUGCACGAAAGCUAGGGGAGCAAACAGG